GAUGAACGCUGGCGGCGUGCCUAAUACAUGCAAGUCGAGCGAAUGGAUUAAGAGCUUGCUCCUAUGAAGUUAGCGGCGGACGGGUGAGUAACACGUGGGUAACCUGCCCAUAAGACUGGGAUAACUCCGGGAAACCGGGGCUAAUACCGGAUAACAUUUUGAACCGCAUGGUUCGAAAUUGAAAGGCGGCUUCGGCUGUCACUUAUGGAUGGACGCGCGUCGCAUUAGCUAGUUGGUGAGGUAACGGCUCACCAAGGCAACGAUGCGUAGCCGACCUGAGAGGGUGAUCGGCCACACUGGGACUGAGACACGGCCCAGACUCCUACGGGAGGCAGCAGUAGGGAAUCUUCCGCAAUGGACGAAAGUCUGACGGAGCAACGCCACGUGAGUGAUGAAGGCUUUCGGGUCGUAAAACUCUGUUGUUAGGGAAGAACAAGUGCUAGUUGAAUAAGCUGGCACCUUGACGGUACCUAACCAGAAAGCCACGGCUAACUACGUGCCAGCCGCCGCAGUAA
rnacentral:rRNA from 1 species